rnacentral:misc_RNA from 1 species
GGACAGUUGAAAGCCAAAAAAUGUCAUAACAUGUAAUCUGAUUGACUAUAACAGAAAGCUAAAACUACCAAAAUAAACUGCAGUUCUGUACCACAGCCCAAUGUUUGAUUGAUCAAGGGGCAACCACAAUCCGCCCAGCCACUUGGUCAAGAUCCCUUUGACCGCUUGAAGUGAUUCUCCUCCCACCUUUGGGGUCAAUGUCAACAAUGUUCAUAUUCUGCAAUUGCUGAAGAAUGUGACGAGCAAUAGCGCCACUGCUCUUGCAGAAAUGAGGUGGACGACUUCCAUUUCUCUUGCUCCCACCAUAAAUCCU